UACAGAGGGUGCAAGCGUUAAUCGGAAUUACUGGGCGUAAAGCGCACGUAGGUGGUUUGGCAAGUUGGAUGUGAAAGCCCUGGGCUCAACCUGGGAACUGCAUUCAAUACUACCAAGCUAGAGUAGAGUAGAGGGAAGUGGAAUUUCCGGUGUAGCGGUGAAAUGCGUAGAUAUCGGAAGGAACACCAGUGGCGAAGGCGGCUUCCUGGACUCAUACUGACACUGAGGUGCGAAAGCGUGGGGAGCAAACAGG
rnacentral:rRNA from 1 species